AGCGGCGGAUGGGUGAGUAACACGUGGGGAACCUGCCCCUAAGUCUGGGAUACCAUCUGGAAACAGGUGCUAAUACCGGAUAAUAAAGCAGAUCGCAUGAUCAGCUUUUGAAAGGCGGCGUAAGCUGUCGCUAAGGGAUGGCCCCGCGGUGCAUUAGCUAGUUGGUAAGGUAACGGCUUACCAAGGCGACGAUGCAGAGCCGAGUUGAGAGACUGAUCGGCCACAUUGGGACUGAGACACGGCCCAAACUCCUACGGGAGGCAGCAGUAGGGAAUCUUCCACAAUGGACGCAAGUCUGAUGGAGCAACGCCGCGUGAGUGAAGAAGGUUUUCGGAUCGUAAAGCUCUGUUGUUGGUGAAGAAGGAUAGAGGUAGUAACUGGCCUUUAUUUGACGGUAAUCAACCAGAAAGUCACGGCUAACUACGUGCCAGCAGCCGCGGUAAUACGUAGGUGGCAAGCGUUGUCCGGAUUUAUUGGGCGUAAAGCGAGCGCAGGCGGAAAAAUAAGUCUAAUGUGAAAGCCCUCGGCUUAACCGAGGAACUGCAUCGGAAACUGUUUUUCUUGAGUGCAGAAGAGGAGUGUGGAACUCCAUGUGUAGCGGUGGAAUGCGUAGAUAUAUGGAAGAACACCAGUGGCGAAGGCGGCUCUCUGGUCUGCAACUGACGCUGAGGCUCGAAAGCAUGGGUAGCGAACAGGAUUAGAUACCCUGGUAGUCCAUGCCGUAAACGAUGAGUGCUAAGUGU
rnacentral:rRNA from 1 species